rnacentral:rRNA from 1 species
UUAAAUUGAAGAGUUUGAUCAUGGCUCAGAUUGAACGCUGGCGGCAGGCCUAACACAUGCAAGUCGAGCGGUAGCA